UGGGAGUGAGAAGGCCCAUGAAUAAUCCCUAUACAUAGAUAUUUCCCCUCUGAAUCUGAGCUCUUGGGCCUCCUGAUAAGUCAGACAUGGAGGUAGAAGGUAGCAGGGUGGGAAUGGGCAGGAGGGCGAUCUUUUAGUGCAAGUGUGCAUGUGUGCCUUUGUGUGUGUGUUUGUGUGUUAGACCAUCAGUUGAAAGGUUUCCAUGGAGACAGGCCAGUUUAAGUAGCAGGGCCUUUAUGCAGGGCUGGUUUGGAUGCCAAACAGUGAUCACUUUGCUGCGAGAGUUCUUUAAGGCUCCCUUUGACACUGCAUGGAGAGAAGUGUGCCUGGUACACAUAUUCCAGUAUGCCAGAUGUCUCCUGUAUUUCUGGAGGUGUAGGCCAUAGUGGGAAUGCACCAAUCUCUAGGGCAAUGAAUUGACCUCCCAGAAUAUCAUAGUGCCCUGGAAUAUCAUCCUGUGGACCUGUUUAAGUAUGGAUUUAAGCUUUUGUCUAUGCUUCUACUCUAAGAUGUUGCUGAAAGUAGAACAACAUUUAAAUAUGUGGAGAAGAAACCAAAAGCCAGCAGCAAAUGCACCUGAGAACAGGAGCCACCUCCAUCUACUGUCCUGUCACCCCUCACCUACUGUGGAUCUUGUCCUUCUCUGUAGUAAUCAUAAGGUCUCCUACUGCACUUGCUUAGAGAAAAGCUGAGGAGAAAGAAAUGCAGGGAGGUGGACAUAGGUGGUGAGAUGCCCCCUCUCAGUGUCACAGGUCAUCUUUUUUUCUCAUUGAGUUGCAUGCACUCACUUUUCACCCUUGAGGACAGCUGAGCUUACCUAUGUCCUCAGUUACAUGCAUCCCCCAUUUAAUCUGAGGGGAGCAGGUCUGUGCAUGCAUGCACCCACAUUCACACUCAGGCGACCCACAGUGAGGCUUGGUGGGCUGGAGCCCUCGACUGACUUGUCAGUUCCCUGUGUUUCCCCAUCCCCCUCCUCCCUUGUUCCUUUCUGCCUUCCCACUUCAGCCAGGGGGACUGUGUGGAGGAAGCAGCAGCAUCAGUGGAGCAACAGGUCUCUAUCUGCACAAGGUUCACACCCUGGUCCUGUUUUGCUGAGAAGACAGCCUUGGUUGGUGGCUCUCUUCCCUGUGAGGAUAGGGGAUGCCACUCAGUGGGACACCUAUGCAUUUGUUACUUAAGGUAUUCUAGUUGACUUCUGCCUUACUAUAAUUCUGUUUUUGUUUUUCACCUGUUCCUCCCCUGGCUUUCCAUUUUUGCUUGUCUUUUCUUGUUUUUCAAUUGUUUCUUUGUUGUUCUGACAGGAAGGGGACCUUGAAAGGAAGCAGGAGGAUCAGACAGAGAAUGAAAUGACUUCAUUGGAAAUCAUAAUGACCCUUGUGGACUGGGGGAGUGAAGAGCUAUCCCCUCUUCUUUCUUGCCUUGAGUACCAUGCACACAGAUCAAGUUGCCCUAGCCUCAUCUGAUUUUAUCCAUUUUGUGUCCACUGUGUUCCUGGUUUCUGCACCUAUCUUGGUCCUUGGGAAGAUGUAUGUGUGUGUGUG
rnacentral:lncRNA from 1 species